UACGUAGGGUGCGAGCGUUAAUCGGAAUUACUGGGCGUAAAGCGUGCGCAGGCGGUUGUGCAAGACAGAUGUGAAAUCCCCGGGCUCAACCUGGGAACUGCAUUUGAGACUGCACGGCUGGAGUGCGGCAGAGGGGGAUGGAAUUCCGCGUGUAGCAGUGAAAUGCGUAGAUAUGCGGAGGAACACCGAUGGCGAAGGCAAUCCCCUGGGCCUGCACUGACGCUCAUGCACGAAAGCGUGGGGAGCAAACAGG
rnacentral:rRNA from 1 species